rnacentral:rRNA from 1 species
GACGUAGGGCGCAAGCGUUGUCCGGAUUUAUUGGGCGUAAAGAGCUCGUAGGCGGCUCGUUGCGUCGGCUGUGAAAACCCGCAGCUCAACUGUGGGCUUGCAGCCGAUACGGGCGGGCUGGAGUUCGGUAGGGGAGACUGGAAUUCCUGGUGUAGCGGUGAAAUGCGCAGAUAUCAGGAGGAACACCGUAGCGAAGGCGGUCUCUGGGCCGAUACUGACGCUGAGGAGCGAAAGCGUGGGGAGCGAACAGG